rnacentral:rRNA from 1 species
GAUGAACGCUGGCGGCGUGCUUAACACAUGCAAGUCGAGCGAACGGACGAGAAGCUCGCUCCCCUGAUGUUAGCGGCGGACGGGCGAGUAACACGUGGAUAACCUACUUAUAAGACUGGGAUAACUACGGGAAACCGGAUACAAUACCGGAUAAUAUUUUGAACGGCAUGGUUCAAAAGAGAAUGACGGUCUUGGCGUCACUUAUAGCUGGAUCCGCGCUGCAUUAGCUAGUUGGUAAGGUAACGGCUUACCAAGGCAACGAUGCAUAGCCGACCUGAGAGGGUGAUCGGCCACACUGGAACUGAGACACGGUCCAGACUCCUACGGGAGGCAGCAGUAGGGAAUCUUCCGCAAUGGGCGAAAGCCUGACGGAGCAACGCCGCGUGAGUGAUGAAGGUCUUCGGAUCGUAAAACUCUGUUAUUAGGGAAGAACAUAUGUGUAAGUAACUGUGCACAUCUUGACGGUACCUAAUCAGAAAGCCACGGCUAACUACGUG